rnacentral:rRNA from 1 species
AUUGAACGCUGGCGGCAGGCCUAACACAUGCAAGUCGGACGAGCGGCGGAGGGGAGAGUAAUGUAUGGGGAUCUGCCUGAUGGCGGGGGAUAACUACGGGAAACGGUAGCUAAUACCGCAUACCCUCAGAUGAACCCAUAUGGGAUUAGCUUGUAGGUGGGGUAACGGCUCACCUAGGCGACGAUCCCUAGCUGGUACGAGAGGAUGAACAGCCACACUGGGACUGAGACACGGCCCAGACUCCUACGGGAGGCAGCAGGGGGGAAUAUUGCACAAUGGGCGCAAGCCGGAUGCAGCCAUGCCGCGUGUAUGAAGAAGGCCUUCGGGUUGUAAAGUACUUUCAGUCGGGAGGCGUUACCGACAGAAGAAGCACCGGCUAACUCCGUGCCAGCAGCCGCGGUAAUUC